CCAGCUCUGGUUCUUGUUUGAUCACCAAAGUUAAGCAUCAUUGAAUUUGGUCAGUACCUAGAUGGGUGAACUCUUGGGAAUUCCAAGUGUUGUAUG